UGCACCACUCCUACGGGAGGCAGCAGUCGAGAAUCUUCGGCAAUGGGCGCAAGCCUGACCGAGCGACGCCGCGUGCGGGAUGAAGGCCUUCGGGUUGUAAACCGCUGUCGUAGGGGAGGAAGAUCCUGUGAAGAACAGGGUUUGACCGAUCCUAGGAGGAAGGGCCGGCUAAUCUCGUGCCAGCAGCCGCGGUAAUACGAGAGGCCCAAACGUUAUUCGGAUUUACUGGGCUUAAAGAGUCCGUAGGCGGCGCAGAAAGUGGGGUGUGAAAUCCCUCGGCUCAACCGAGGAAUUGCGCUCCAAACUCCUGUGCUAGAGGAAUCUAGAGGUGAGCGGAACUGAUGGUGGAGCGGUGAAAUGCGUUGAUAUCAUCAGGAACACCGGAGGCGAAGGCGGCUCACUGGGGAUUUUCUGACGCUGAGGGACGAAAGCCA
rnacentral:rRNA from 1 species